rnacentral:rRNA from 1 species
GAUGAACGCUGGCGGCGUGCCUAAUACAUGCAAGUCGAGCGAACAGACGAGGAGCUUGCUCCUCUGACGUUAGCGGCGGACGGGUGAGUAACACGUGGAUAACCUACCUAUAAGACUGGGAUAACUUCGGGAAACCGGAGCUAAUACCGGAUAAUAUAUUGAACCGCAUGGUUCAAUAGUGAAAGACGGUUUUGCUGUCACUUAUAGAUGGAUCCGCGCCGCAUUAGCUAGUUGGUAAGGUAACGGCUUACCAAGGCAACGAUGCGUAGCCGACCUGAGAGGGUGAUCGGCCACACUGGAACUGAGACACGGUCCAGACUCCUACGGGAGGCAGCAGUAGGGAAUCUUCCGCAAUGGGCGAAAGCUUGACGGAGCAACGCCGCGUGAGUGAUGAAGGUCUUCGGAUCGUAAAACGCUGUUAUUAGGGAAGAACAAAUGUGUAAGUAACGAUGCACGUCUUGACGGUACCGAAUCAGAAAGCCUCGGCUAACUACGU